rnacentral:lncRNA from 1 species
AUUUACGCGCUGUUUCUUAUUGCCUGGUUUUUUUGAAGCAUCACCGGUGAUGACAGCAAAAGGACGAGAAGGAGAUCCAUUGGAAGCAUUAGCCUCAUUUUGCUUUGCCAAUCCUCUCUUCUUCAUUGUCUCUUCAGAUUUCUGUGGCGACAUUAUGAUUCAAUCACUUCACAACUCAGUUGCACCACCUGUGUCUGGAUUCAAGAUAUAAAACAAUAAGAAGUUGAUUUUGAAGUUCACACAUCACCAAUUUAUAAUCCUUAAUCCUAAUCCAACUUAGAUAAUAUUUCACCAACCCCUCCUUCUUAUCUCAAUCACCAAACCCUGCCACCUCAAACCACACAGUCAUGAAUUAAAUUUCCUUCUCUACGUACUUUCAAACCCAUUCAAUUUUCAAUUUCAUUUAAUGUAUUCAAUCAUCUCAUUUGUAACGCAAUCAUUUUCAACUUUUGACUGAAAAUAAAUCCCUGCAGUGGUACUUCUUUUUUGCCACCCCAAAUAUCUAAAACCAAAGGAAAGAAUUAAGAAAGGUGACAAAGUUCAAAACUCUAUUUUCAUAACAAUAAAUACUAAAUAAAACUUCAAAAUCAGUCAUGGGACUGCAGAAUAUAGAUUUGACUUGCUGGGAUCAUGAAGAUAAUUUUAAAAUUUAAUUAAGAGGAUUAUAAUUUUGGUAGAUCAAAUGUGGAAUUUUGCUUUUAAUUAGUAUUGAAAUUUUGGGAAAAUUGAGAAAGAGGUGAAGAACUAAUAUGAAAGUAAGUAAAUAUAUAACAAAAAAUAAUUUAAACUUAGCAAUAACUUACAAGGAAAAAAUUGCAGAAGGUAAGAAUAUGGUAGGAGAAAUUGUAG